GGGGGAGWAUGGUCGCAAGGCUGAAACUUAAAGGAAUUGACGGAAGGGCACCACCAGGAGUGGAGCCUGCGGCYUAAUUUGACUCAACACGGGGAAACUCACCAGGUCCAGACACAAUAAGGWUUGACAGAUUGAGAGCUCUUUCUUGUUUUUGUGGGUGGUGGUGCUUGGCCGUUUUUAGUUGGUGGAGUGAUUUGUCUGCUUAAUUGCGAUAACGAACGAACCUUUAACCUUUAAUAGUUCUACGCGGCUUUUUGCUCGUUUGAACUUCUUAGAGGGACUAUCGAUUUCAAGUCGAUGGAAGUUUGAGGCAAUAACAGGUCUGUGAUGCCCUUAGACGUUCUGGGCCGCACGCGCGCUACACUGACGGAGCCAGCGAGUGUAUCCUUGGUCGAGAGACCUGGGUAAUCUUGUGAAACUCCGUCGUGCUGGGGAUAGAGCAUUGCAAUUAUUGCUCUUCAACGAGGAAUUCCUAGUAAGCGCAAGUCAUCAGCUUDCGUUGAUUACGUCCCUGCCCUUUGUACACACCGCCCGUCGCUAGUACCGAUUGAAUGGCUUAGUGAGGCUUCCGGAUUUGCUUAGAAGGAGGGGCAACUCUCUUUCAGAGCGGAGAAGCUAGUCAAACUUGGUCAUUUAGAGGAACUAAAAGUCGUAACAAGGUUUCCGUAGGUGAACCUGCGGAAG
rnacentral:ncRNA from 1 species